AUGGUCUCUGGAUUCAAUACUAAUUUGGAGAGUCCUACAAGAGACGGUUUUAUAAAACAUUGUUUAAUUGGUGAACCAGGACCUCCACAAGUUUGCUGCGUAUCACAGUGCCCUACAAACUGCCCAUCUGAUUGCAACGCCAAAGGAUUUACUAAAGGUGGACUAUGUUCAAUUAUACAUGGAUCGGAAAUGUGUUGUUGUUUUGCGUGA